AUGGCUGUCGUCAGCUCGUGUCGUGAGAUGUUGGGUUAAGUCCCGCAACGAGCGCAACCCCUACCCUUAAUUGCCAUCGGGUUAUGCCGGGCACUUUAGGGGGACUGCCGGUGACAAGCCGGAGGAGGGUGGGGAUGACGUCAAGUCCUCAUGGCCUUUAUGACCAGGGCUACACACGUGUUACAAUGGGAGUUACAGAGGGAAGCUAAGCCGCGAGGCCAUGCCAAUCCCAGAAAAACUUUCUCAGUUCGGAUCGCAGUCUGCAACUCGACUGCGUGAAGCUGGAAUCGCUAGUAAUCGCGGAUCAGCACGCCGCGGUGAAUACGUUCCCGGGCCUUGUACACACCGCCCGUCACACCAUGGGAGCCGACAAGGGCAGAAGUCGCCGAGCUAACCUUCGGGAAGCAGGCGCCCAAGCUGUUGUUGACGACUGGGGUGAAGUCGUAACAAGGUAGCCGUAGGAGAACCUGCGGCUGGAUCACCUCCUUUCUAAGGACGCCGGAGAUGCUUUAUGCUUAUCUCCGGAUAGUCAAAGUCGAAACAGACUCUCUUCUCUUCUCUCCCUUUUCUCCUGUAAAUGCUAAGUUAUGAAUUUAGAGCAACGGAGAAAUUAAAUUCGUUACUGUGGACUCCUAAUUUCAAGAGGGGCCUGUAGCUCAGCUUGGUUAGAGCGCAUCCCUGAUAAGGAUGAGGCCGGUGGUUCAAGUCCACCCAGGCCCACCAGGUUCAGUGGGGGAUUAGCUCAGCUGGUAGAGCGCCUGCUUUGCAAGCAGGAGGUCAGCGGUUCGACCCCGCUAUCCUCCACCAAAUUAAUGAACAGUAAAAAAAGGUGGUGCAGCUUAAGCAGAAGAUAAGCUUCAGCAAUUGUUUAAUAAUUUCUGAAUUUUAUUUUUUAAUAUCUUAGAUAAUUAAAUCGGAGGUUUUGGAGACACAAGAUCAAAUGUGAGGGUCUCCAAGGGUUGACGAUCUUGACUGUUAAAGUCAGGUAGUAAGGGCGCAGGGCGGAUGCCUUGGCUCUGGGAAGCGAAGAAGGACGUGGCCAGCUGCGAUAAGCCUCGGGGAAGAGCAAACAUCUUUUGAUCCGGGGAUUUCCGAAUGGGGAAACCCGG
rnacentral:sRNA from 1 species